UUAAAGACCACGGAGACUACCUUUUAUUUGGGAGCCAAGCUGCAGUAAAGCCGAGCUCCAACUGAUAAUGUAUACCUUUAUUUAACUAGGCAAGUCAGUUAAGAACACAUUCUUAUUUUCAAUGACGGCCUAGGAAUGGUGGGUUAACUGCCUCGUUCAGGGGCAGAACGAUAGAUGUUCACCUUGUCAGCUCGGGCGAUUCAAUCUUGCAAUAGUCCAACGCAAUAACGACCUGCCUCUCUUUCGUUGGACUCCACAAUGCCUGUUACCCGAAAGUAAGCGAAGGACCAUGCCCCAGGACUACCUGACAUGAUGACUCCUUGCUGUCCCCAGUCCACCUGGCCAUGCUGCUGUUCCAGUUUCAACUGACCUGAGCCCUAGGACCAUGCCCCAGGACUACCUGACAUGAUGACUCCUUGCUGUCCCCAGUCCACCUGGCCAUGCUGCUGCUCCAGUUUCAACUUCCACCUGACUGUGCUGCUGCUCCAGUUUCAACUGUUCUGCCUUAUUAUUAUUCGACCAUGCUGAUCAUUUAUGAACAUUUGAACAUCUUGGCCAUGUUCUGUUAUAAUCUCCACCCGGCACAGCCAGAAGAGGACUGGCCACCCCACAUAGCCUGGUUCCUCUCUAGGUUUCUUCCUAGGGUUUGGCCUUUCUAGGGAGUUUUUCCUAGCCACCGUGCUUCUACACCUGCAUUGCUUGCUGUUUGGGGUUUUAGGCUGGGUUUCUGUACAGCACUUUGAGAUAUCAGCUGAUGUACGAAGGGUUAUAUAAAUAAAUUUGAUUUGAUUUGA